rnacentral:rRNA from 1 species
GUCCACGCUGUAAACGAUGACGACUAGGUGUGGGGUGGUUCAGUCCAUUCCGUGCCGCAGCUAACGCAUUAAGUCGUCCGCCUGGGGAGUACGGCCGCAAGGUUGAAACUCAAAGGAAUUGACGGGGGCCCGCACAAGCGGUGGAGCAUGUGGUUCAAUUCGAUGCAGAGCGAAGAACCUUACCUGGGCUUGACAUGUAGGAAGUAGAAACCCGAAAGGGCGACGACCUGUUAAGUCAGGAGCCUACACAGGUGGUGCAUGGCUGUCGU